GACGAACGCUGGCGGCGUGCUUAACACAUGCAAGUCGAGCGGUAAGGCCUUUCGGGGUACCCGAGCGGCGAACGGGUGAGUAACACGUGGGUGAUCUGCCCUGCACUUCGGGAUAAGCCUGGGAAACUGGGUCUAAUACCGGAUAUGACCUCCUAUCGCAUGGUGGGUGGUGGAAAGAUUUAUCGGUGCAGGAUGGGCCCGCGGCCUAUCAGCUUGUUGGUGGGGUAAUGGCCUACCAAGGCGUCGACGGGUAGCCGACCUGAGAGGGUGACCGGCCACACUGGGACUGAGACACGGCCCAGACUCCUACGGGAGGCAGCAGUGGGGAAUAUUGCACAAUGGGCGAAAGCCUGAUGCAGCGACGCCGCGUGAGGGAUGACGGCCUUCGGGUUGUAAACCUCUUUCAGCAGGGACGAAGCGCAAGUGACGGUACCUGCAGAAGAAGCACCGGCUAACUACGUG
rnacentral:rRNA from 1 species